UACAGAGGUCUCAAGCGUUGUUCGGAUUCAUUGGGCGUAAAGGGUGCGUAGGCGGCGCGGUAAGUCGGAUGUGAAAUCUCGGAGCUUAACUUCGAAACUGCAUUCGAUACUGCCGUGCUUGAGGACUGGAGAGGAGACUGGAAUUCAUGGUGUAGCAGUGAAAUGCGUAGAGAUCAUGAGGAAGACCAGUGGCGAAGGCGGGUCUCUGGACAGUUCCUGACACUGAGGCACGAAGGCCAGGGGAGCAAACGGG
rnacentral:rRNA from 1 species